rnacentral:rRNA from 1 species
AGUGAACGCUGGCGGUAGGCCUAACACAUGCAAGUCGAACGGCAGCACAGUAAGAGCUUGCUCUUACGGGUGGCGAGUGGCGGACGGGUGAGGAAUACAUCGGAAUCUACUUUUUCGUGGGGGAUAACGUAGGGAAACUUACGCUAAUACCGCAUACGACCUACGGGUGAAAGCAGGGGAUCUUCGGACCUUGCGCGAUUGAAUUAGCCGAUGUCGGAUUAGCUAGUUGGCAGGGUAAAGGCCCACCAAGGCGACGAUCCGUAGCUGGUCUGAGAGGAUGAUCAGCCACACUGGAACUGAGACACGGUCCAGACUCCUACGGGAGGCAGCAGUGGGGAAUAUUGGACAAUGGGCGCAAGCCUGAUCCAGCCAUACCGCGUGGGUGAAGAAGGCCUUCGGGUUGUAAAGCCCUUUUGUUGGGAAAGAAAAGCAGCAGGUUAAUACCCCGCUGUUCUGACGGUACCCAAAGAAUAAGCACCGGCUAACUUCGUG